rfam:Asian citrus Psyllid, Diaphorina citri - Florida Strain, whole genome shotgun sequence.
GCGGACAGCCAUAGCACCUUGAAUGCACCAGUUCCCAAUGGAUCAUUGAUGUUAAGUAGCGUGACGCGUGUUUAGUAUCCGAAUGGGUGACCAUCUGGGCGUGUUGCUGGUUACUGCCUUUU